rnacentral:rRNA from 1 species
AUUGAACGCUGGCGGCAGGCUUAACACAUGCAAGUCGAGCGAGCGGCGGACGGGUGAGUAAUGUCUGGGCACCUGCCUGAUGGAGGGGGAUAACUACUGUAAACGGUAGCUAAUACCGCAUACCAUCAGAUGUGCCCUCCUGGGAUGAGCUAGUCGGUGGGGUAAUGGCUCACCUAGGCGACGAUCCCUAGCUGGUCUGAGAGGUUGACCGGCCACACUGGAACUGAGACACGGUCCAGACUCCUACGGGAGGCAGCAGUGGGGAAUAUUGCACAAUGGGCGAAAGCCUGAUGCAGCAAUGCCGCGUGUGUGAAGAAGGCCUUCGGGUUGUAAAGCACUUUCAGCGAGGAGGCGGUACUCGAAGAAGAAGCACCGGCUAACUCCGUGCCAGCAGCCGCGGUAAUAC